rnacentral:lncRNA from 1 species
UAACAACCUGACCCCAUAACAAAGCACCCUGACCCCAUAACAACCUGACCCCAUAACACCCCUGACACCAAAGCACCCCCUGACCCUAAAACCAUCCUGAUCCCAUAAGACCCCCUGACCCCUAAACAGCCCUGACCCCAAAGCAACCCCCAACCCCACAGCCCUGACCCCAAAACUCCCCUGACCCCCAAACCACCCCGACCCCAAAGCCCCCCACCCCAUAGCCCCUGUUUGUGGGGAACUUGUGGGGUCAGGACCAUCUAUGGGGUCAGUCCUGUCUGUGGGGUCAGCCCUGGCUGUGGGGUCUAUGGGGUCUAUGGGGUCAGCCCUGUUUAUGGGGUCAGCCCUGGCUGUGGGGUCUAUGGGGUCAGCCCUGUUUAUGGGGUCAGCCCAUCUCUGUGGUGUCUAUGGGGUCAGCCCCAUCUAUGGGGUCAGCCCAUGUCUAUGGGGUCAGCCCUAUUUAUGGGGUCUGUGGGGUCAGGCCUGUCUAUGGGGUCAGCCCCAUUUAUGGGGUCAGCCCUGUCUGUGGGGUCUGUGGGGUCAGCCCUGUCUAUGGGGUCAUUCCUGUCUGUGGGAUCUAUGGGGUCAUCCCUGUCUGUGGGGUCUAUGGGGUCAGCCCUAUUUAUGGGGUCUGUGGGGCAGUUGUAGGGUCAGGCCUGUUUGUGGGGUCAGCCCCGUCUAUGGGGUCAGCCCU